CCUGGCUCAGAUUGAACGCUGGCGGCAGGCUUAACACAUGCAAGUCGAACGGUAGCAGGAGAAAGCUUGCUUUCUUGCUGACGAGUGGCGGACGGGUGAGUAAUGCUUGGGAAUCUGGCUUAUGGAGGGGGAUAACUACGGGAAACUGUAGCUAAUACCGCGUAGUGUCGAGAGACGAAAGUGCGGGACCGCAAGGCCGCAUGCCAUGAGAUGAGCCCAAGUGGGAUUAGGUAGUUGGUGAGGUAAUGGCUCACCAAGCCUGCGAUCUCUAGCUGGUCUGAGAGGAUGGCCAGCCACACUGGAACUGAGACACGGUCCAGACUCCUACGG
rnacentral:rRNA from 1 species